UGAGAAGUCCAGCUGUGAACAAGGAAAAGAAACAGCACACUCAAAUAGUUUAAGCCUAUAGAGAUUUAUUAGGGGUUAAAGAUAACUUAAAAUUUGAUGGAAAGGUGAAGGCAGAUUUUCAACUGAACUUCAGGAAUGGCUCUCAGAACCAAACUGCAAAGAACCAAACUGCAAACUAGCUCCCUAAGGGUGAAACUCGGAAAUUUGAAAACACCGAAUCAGGUAAGUAUCACCCCAGCUGCCCUUUUUGAACUCUCGUGCAUGUUGGCUGUUGUGUUGGUAUACACAGGGCAAGGAGACAUUCCCAGAGUUGAGAGAGGCCAAAACACUGAGACCCACCUGCCUAAGAAUCAAUGACUGAACUUGCCAAGAUGCCGCAGUUCCUUCAAGAAGACACAGAUGCUGCAUCCCAAUGGAGCUUACAUUAGCUAAAAGCCAGCACUUGGGGAGGUGGACAGACACAUGUCCAGAGUGCCUUGGAGAGCACAGGCCACCGCUGAAGCUGUGAAAAAAGGCUAAAUACAUGGUGGAAGCAGGAAAGGAAAGGAACCCCAGACUUGCUCCUGGCUCACAGUACUACCUGCUUCCCCAUGCAGAGACACCCCAGUGAGGGCCCUCAUAUUGCCCUUGUGGACUUCACUGGGACUGAACCCUUCAGACCUAAGAGCUUCUAGGGCUCAGUUAUUGGAAACAUUUUCAGUUUUAUUCUUCUGAAUGACUUAAAGAUUUUUCAAUUAGAAAAACUCUCUUCAUGAAUGACAUGUACUAAUGUACUAAAGAACUUUGCUUCUAGAUCUAUUUAGAAUUGUCACACUUCUUCUACUACUGAUUACUACUGUAAUCUACUGGGAUUACAGGUGUGAGCCACUGCGCCCGGCCAUUUUUUUCUUUCUUUCUUUCUCCUUUUUUUUUUUUUUUUUGAGGUGGAGUCUCGCCCUGUCGCCCAGGCUAGAGUGCAAUGGCGGUAUCUCAGCUCACUGCAACCUCCACCUCCUGGGUUCAAACGAUUCUCCUGCCUCAGCCUCCCGAGUAGCUGGGAUUACAGGCGCCUGCCACCAUGCCCAGCUAAUUUUUGUAUUUUUAGUAGAGACGGGGUUUCACCAUGUUGGCCAGGCUAGUCUGGAACUCCUGACCUUGUGAUCCGCCCGCCUCGGCCUCCCAAAGAGCUGGGAUUACAGGUGUGAGCCACUGCGCCUGGCUCAAAUGUGCUUUUCAAUAAAGGAUUGGGAAAAAAUAAGUUAGAGUGCAACUGCAAAUUCCAAAAUGAUUAAGCCCUUGGAAAUAAAAUGGGAUACAUGAUUUGAAAGAUAUCCAAGAGGUGGCAUGUGCAGUAAGAAGAACUCAGCAUUGGGCAGGCUGGUGGCUAUAGCACCAGUGCUGAGAGGGCAGGAUGUUAAGUAGGAAAGAAAAGCCUUUAGAGAAGGGCAGAGUUCCAGGAUCCCUGUCCAUAUGGACAACAUGACCCUAGUCUCUCAUGUCUGUCAGCUCUUGUGUCUUCUGGCUUUUCUUAGUCUCACUCAGCCACAUUGUUUGUAGCACUCACUUCCCUUGAAGGCACUUGAAACUGGGACAUCUGUCCACAGACAGGCCUGUCUGGACAGCCUUCCAAAAUGCUCAUGGCAAUGAGAAAGUCUCUGAGUCCCAGUCAUUUCCCUGCACACAGAGUAGUUCCCAUCUUAGCAAAACUGGGUGUUCUCUGAGUAUCACUCAGCACAUGGAAGCUGUCCAGACUUCUGUCCUGUGCAGGCAGGCAGUAACCUGGGAUCUCUGCUCUUGCAUGCAGAUAAACUUACAGUCCUUCAAAGCUUCAAGCUCCUAGAUGGUGAAACAAUACAUCUGUGCUGAGAGUGAGGAGAAGGAUGCAAUAGUCUUCCAGUUUUGUACUUUUACACUUCUGGGUCAUCAGAAACCAAAGAUUUGCCUUGGUUUCCCAAAGUGUUGGGAUUACAGGCAUGAUCCACCACGUCCAGCUUCAAUAAUUAUUAUUUUUUAUUUAUUUAUUUUGAGACAGAGUCUUGCUCUGUCACCCAGGCUAGACUGCAGUGGCGCCAUCUCGGCUCACUGCAAGCUCCACCUCCAAGGUUCACACCAUUCUCCUGCCUCAGCCUCCUGAGUAGCUGGGACUACAGGUGCCUGCCACCACACCCAGCUAAUUUUUUGUAUUUUUAGUAGAGACGGGGUUUCACCGUGUUAGCCAGGAUGGUCUCAAUCUGCUGACCUUGUGAUCCACCUGCCUCGGCCUCCUAAAGUACUGGGAUUACAGGCAUGAGCCUCCACACCCGGCCCUCAAUUAUUUUUGAUAGUUUUGUGUCAAUAUUUCCAUGAUAUAUAACAAUUCCUUAUUAUUCUAGCAAUCUUUUCCUCAUCAUUUUGUCUUAGUUCUACAUAAUUCUUAUACUGAGGAUUAAACUGAAGCAUGGCUCUAACCCUGAAACUUCUCUAAUAAUUUUUAAUCUCAAUGAUAUUGUUUGAAUAUUUGUCCCCCUCCAAAUCUCAUGUUGAAAUUUGGUUCGGGACAGAGCAGUGGCUUACACCUGUAAUCCCAGCACUUUGGGAAGCCAAGGUGGGAGGAUAGCUUGUGGCCAGGAGUUCAAGACCAGCCUGGGCAACACAGAGAGACCCCUGUCUUGAUAAAAAUAAAAAAGGCCAGGCGCGGUGGCUCACACCUGUAAUCCCAGCACUUUGGGAGGCUGAGGCGGGCGGAUCACAAGGUCAGGAGAUCAAGACCAUCUUGGCUAACACAGUGAAACCUCGUCCCUACUAAAAAUACACACACACACACACACACACACACAAAAUUACCCAGGCGUGGUGGCGGGCACCUGUAGUCCCAGCUACUUGGGAGGCUGAGGCGGGAGAAUGGCAUGAACCCAGGAGGUGGAGCUUGCAGUGAGCCAAGAUCGCGCCACUGCACUCCAGCCUGGGCAACAGAGUAAGACUCCAUCUCAAAAAAUAAAUAAAUAAAUAAAUAAAUAAAUAAAAUAAAAAAGAUUUUGAUAAUAUUGGAAGUGGGACCUAAAGGGAGGUGUUUGGGUCAUGGGGGUCGAGCUAUCAUGAAUGGCUUGGUGCAGCCCCCAAGUAAUAAGUAGGUUCUCACUCUAUUAGUACAUACAAUAAAAAGAGAACCAUGUCAAAAGGUACCUGAGAUACACCAAGAAAGCUCAAACUUGAAGACAUGUUUUUAAUAUGUAAAUGUGUAUGAAUGGAUACAUACAAGAUGUGUUUAAAAUCUGUUUGAGCUGCCACUGUCAGAUUCAAUGUAUAGCUAGCAUCAAUUUGCUGGGGUUAGAGGGCAUCAAGAUCUUCCCAGAAAUUCAGAGCCUUAGGUAAUCCAAAGGAAGAUUCUGUCAACAUUUAUACCUAAGCUUGACAGCCCUGAUGCCUCUUUGGACCUGGCUUGGAAAUAUGAUCCUCUAUUGUAGCAAUUGUACCUUGUUGCUGAAUGAUGUCAUCAUCCACAAGAUGGAUCCAUUCUUGAUUCUCACCCUAUUGACUUUUUUCCAUUGCAACCAUAACAUGGGCUAGCUGCUCUACACCUCUCCAGUGGACUUCAAGUGCUGCUGAGCUCAAAUAAAUCUUGUCUGUCCCACCAUUUUAACCAGACAGGCAGAGCUCUUCUGUCUUAAGUGUCUCAUAAAUCUUUCAAAUAGGUAAACUUCUAGUGCUAUGCUUCCUCUGACCGUUCUGCUAUUCUGUUUUCCUGUGCCAUGGUUUCUCAUUAGGUUUUCUACUGUUUUUUUGUUUGUUUGUUUGUUUGUUUUUCUUUUUGUUUUUGUUUUUGAGAUGGAGUUUCACUCUUGUCGCCCGGGCUAGAGUGCAAUGGCGCGUUCUCGGCUCACUGCCGCCUCUGCCUCUCGGGUUCAAGCAAUUCUCCUGUCUCAGCCUCCUGAGUACCUGGGAUUACAGGCACCCCCCACCAAGCCCAGGUAAUUUUUUUUUUUUUUUGUAUUUUUGGUAGAGACAGGGUUUCACCAUAUUGGCCAGGCCGGUCUCGAACUCCUGACCUCAGGUGAUCUGCCCACCUUGGCCUCCCAAAGU
rnacentral:lncRNA from 10 species